CACGUAGGUGGCAAGCGUUGUCCGGAUUUAUUGGGUUUAAAGGGUGCGUAGGCGGCCUUGUAAGUCAGUGGUGAAAUACGGUAGCUUAACUAUCGAGGUGCCAUUGAUACUGCAGAGCUUGAGUACAGAUGAGGUAGGCGGAAUUGACGGUGUAGCGGUGAAAUGCUUAGAUAUCGUCAAGAACACCUAUAGCGAAGGCAGCUUACUAGGCUGUAACUGACGCUGAGGCACGAAAGUGUGGGGAUCAAACAGG
rnacentral:rRNA from 1 species